AGGCACGUGAUAUGAGGGCGGGGGCGGGAACGAGUUGGGAACCCAGAACCUCAGUUCUGAUUUUCUGUUACUUGGGUCUCUGCUGCCUUUUCGUUCUCGAACCCCGCGCAUCCAGGGAAAGGGGUUUGGAGCUAGGAACUCGGGAAGCGACUAAGUGCGUGGACUUGAGGCUGUUCGGUGGCCCCCAGCCGCCUGCCAAUCCUUUUCCCUCACCAGACUUCCCGUCUGGUCAUGGCGAGAUUCUGGGUCUGCGCAGCCGGCGCUGGCUUCUUUCUUGCAUAUCUGGUUUUACAUUCGCAUAUUUGUGGCUCUUCGCUCCCGCUACGUCUUCAUUUUGCUUUUAAAUUUUCCUGGAGAGCUGAGGAAAUCCUUUACCGGCUGGAUGUGGAUUGGCCCACGUAUUCAGAAUACUUUACUGGAGCAACAUUUUGUGUUGCAGUUGAUUCCCUCAACGAAUUGGUUUAUGUAGCCCAAAGAGGGGAUAACAUCCCAAAGGUAUUAGUGUUCACAGAGGAUGGAUAUUUCCUACGAGCCUGGAAUUACACAGUUGACACACCUCAUGGCAUAUUUGCAGCCAGUACACUACAUGAACAAUCCGUCUGGAUCACGGAUGUAGGAAGUGGAUCCUAUGGUCAUACCGUUAAAAAAUACAAUUCCUUUGGUGAUCUUGUUCAAAUUUUGGGAACACCAGGCAAAAAAGGCACUGGUUUGAACCCCUUGCAGUUUGAUAACCCUGCGGAAUUAUACGUAGAAGACACGGGAGAUAUUUACAUUGUAGACGGAGAUGGAGGAUUGAAUAACAGAUUGAUCAAAUUGUCUCAAGAUUUCAUGAUCCUCUGGCUACGUGGAGAAAAUGGGACAGAACCCGCUAAGUUCAACAUCCCUCACAGUGUGACGGUUGAUUCCGUUGGUCGGGUGUGGGUAGCUGACCGAGGCAAUAGAAGAAUUCAGGUGUUUGAUAAAGACACCGGGGAGUGGUUAGGAGCUUGGAAUGAUUGUUUCGCUGAAGAGGGGCCAUCCGCAGUCAGAUUUACCCCUGAUGGGAAGCGUUUGAUUAUAGCCCAGCUGAAUCUAAGCCGCCUCUUAAUCGCGGCGGCGCCGCCGGUCGGAAACAUCGGUAACUGUUCUGUGAUCAGCACCAUCCAGCUAGCAGAUCAGGUCUUACCUCAUCUCUUGGACGUCAGUCAGAAGACUGGAGCCAUUUACGUGGCAGAAAUCGGAGCAAAAAUCAAUUUAAUAUUCAAAAAGGAGGACACUUCGAGGACUGAUUGAAAACAGACCAGGGACACAUGAAUCCUGGCCCUGGAUGGUUAAAAGUGCCAGAAGCAAGCUUGCUGUUCAGCUCCUUUGACUCACGGAUGGCCCCAGCGAGAGUGUGAAAGGACCCAGGCCAUCUCUAAUAGCGGCUGCUCAGCAAGGCCUGUGGCUGCGGCCAAUUUUCCAACAAUCCACGUGAAGAGGUGCUGGUUUCCAUCCUGACAGCAUUUUAUCUGCCCUCCCCUGUUGGUACCUGUCAGGCUUUCAUCAGCCACCAAGCAGUUCUGAAUAGAGGCUGGAUACAGAUCAUCAAGGAAACCUCUGUAUCCCUGGAUCUGUAUCCAGGGAUGUGGAGAAGUGGGGCAGCAAGGGCUGCUUUGAUCUUGCUCAGUUGCCCUCAGUCCAAGAGGCUUCCUGGAUGAUCCCUCCUUGCUUGGGAACAGACUUAAUCCAGUUUGGUCAAGCACAACCUUGAGAAUCCGGUAAAUUACAGCACCCACUGAAAAAGCGAGCAGGAUGGGGAGACAUCGCCACUGUCUGAAGACCUCAUUUCCAGGCAGACCAUGUCCUGCUACACACACAGGCACUUAUUAAGUAAACAGGUAUCAGAAAGCAGACACAAGCCCACUCACCAGCCUGCCCUGAGAGCUAGUUAAAUCCUAGUUCCCUAUCAUUUUAAGGGAUGUUGGGCUGCCGUCUUGCCUUAAAGGAGCACUGGAGGCAAAUGCAGCAAGGUUCCAUGGAAGGAUUCUGUUAACCUCUGGUAACAGAUAACUCCAAAUCCUCUGAACCAAAGACCAGAAACGGAUCUCUUAGGGAUGGUCCAGAUUUGGCUGCCAUCCCUGGGGCCAGAGUGGGCACAGCGUGAAGGCUGAAGUAAAGCUGUUCUCGGUAAAAAUACUGAAACUCCUGUACCGGUGAUUAAACAACCACUGCCCCCAGCUUCCCCAGUGUCUCGUGGUCCUCUCCUCCCUCUGAGAACUCUAGCACUUUCUAGACUCAGGGCCCAGAAAUCAAAAAAUUAGUACCUGGACCAACAGCCCCCUGGGGAAGGCUCUGGUCAGUAUUCGUUUUAGUUUGGAUUAGUCAGGGCCUAUGACAUAUUUUUGUUAAAUAUUUUAAAUAUCUUUCAGACUCACAAUAUUGGCUAUAUGCCUGGAUGGCUAUUUAAAUCCUUUCCUGCAAGAACAGGGAGUACCUCUAACUCAGUCUACAAACCUCAGUGCCUUUAAUGUCACCAGUGAGGGCCCAUUUUUACCAUUGAUUACAUUCAUUAAUGAGACACUAGUUCCACCAUCAAAAAUCCAUUUCUGACCAUUACUGUACGAAAAGUGAGGCUUGUAGUGAUGGCUGAGCUAUGGAUGACAGAAGACCUGUCCUAGGAGUCUUGAGUUUCCACUCUGGAGCCUGCACCUGAGCUGUGACUCUCUGGGACUCAUGCACAUAUCUUAUUCCCUCCAUCCUGAAGUAUCCAAUGAAUGACAGGCAUUGUAAUAGUGGUGUGAAGAACUCCGAAGGAUCUAAGGUCUUAUUCUACUUGCAAGCUAACACAUCAGCCUGUCCCACCUUCAUGGACAUGCUGGCACAGGAAGGAGACUCCUGGAUCAGAGACAAAGGACUGUGUUAUUCACAGCACAGCAACCAGCAUGAGUUUUGUAUCUGAAUCCAUCCCUUUGCUCAAAUAAGUCACCCAGAAUCAGAGAGCUCUCAGGGAGUGAAACUGAGAUUCAGAUCUCAUUCAUCACAUUUUUUUCUUUUAUGGGGAAAACUCAUUUGCCUGGGAUAAUUCAUUCAUACGAUAUUUUCUGAAAAGAUAGGAUAAAUGAAUUAUACUCUACAAAUUCUCUAUAUUAAUUAGUUUCGGUCAACUUCCUACCAGGUUCAAAGUCAGGCAAAAAGUCACAUUGGCCCUUUGAUUGCUUUGUUAUAGUUUUGGUUUUGUUCUAAAACAUGUUUGAUGGGUUAUUAAUCAAUAAUGCUUACCAACAGCCCUUUCCUAACAGGGGACCUGUUAAGAGGUCUACCUUCUACUUCUGUUCUAUCUUCUAUUAUGGAAAAAGGCAAAAAAUACACAGGAAGUUAACAAAGAACAUGAGUUGGCACAGUAAUGUGAAUUCCCAAUUCUGGGAUAGAAAUAUUUCUCCUGAGAUUAAGAACCAUAGUAUAAAUGAAAGGUUUGAAAGAACUGUCCUCAAAUGUUCAGAUAGACACAUUCUUCCAGAAACAUCAGUGAAAGGUCUUUCCUCAGAGUUACUGUUCUGAACAAAUUAGAUAAGAGGAUGGUGUAAGACAAAUAUGUGAGAACUCUCCCAACUAGAAUCUCCUUGGGGCAGGGAACUGGUGGGAGACGUCCAAGAGCAUUACAUCAUCAGACGGAAUUAUCAGCGUGGGUCGGUGGGGGUAGGGUGUAGAUUCUUUUUCAAAGAUCAUCCCCAAGUCCUUAACUAACAGAAAAUUUUAAUAAAUCUAUAUAUUUGUUUAAGAUGAUGUUUUUAUAGCCAAUUUGUCUUCAUUGCUCUUUCUUUCUCAUAGGCAUUGCUAAUAUGGUCAGAUGGACAAAGUUUAUCCUAAGAAAGGAUCUAAAACAACAAAAACAGUUACUUUUAAAAUUAGUGCCUGGUGC